UGGGGAAUAUUGCACAAUGGGCGCAAGCCUGAUGCAGCGACGCCGCGUGAGGGAUGAAGGCCUUCGGGUUGUAAACCUCUUUCGUCAGGGAACAAGGCACCGCUUUUUUGGUGGUGUUGAGGGUACCUGGAUAAGAAGCGCCGGCUAACUACGUGCCAGCAGCCGCGGUAAUACGUAGGGCGCAAGCGUUGUCCGGAAUUAUUGGGCGUAAAGAGCUCGUAGGCGGCUGGUCGCGUCUGUCGUGAAAGCUUCCGGCUCAACCGGGGGCUUGCGGUGGGUACGGGCCGGCUAGAGUGCGGUAGGGGUAACUGGAACUCCUGGUGUAGCGGUGGAAUGCGCAGAUAUCAGGAAGAACACCGAUGGCGAAGGCAGGUUACUGGGCCGUUACUGACGCUGAGGAGCGAAAGCGUGGGGAGCGAACAGGAUUAGAUACCCUGGUAGUCCACGCUGUAAACGUUGGGCACUAGGUGUGAGGCUCCUUUCCGGGGGUUUUGCGCCGUAGCUAACGCAUUAAGUGCCCCGCCUGGGGAGUACGGCCGCAAGGCUA
rnacentral:rRNA from 1 species